GCUGAUUAAGAAUAGACCAAUUGUACAACUCUGAAUCAAGCUUAGUCCGCAACUGAAGUUCCUUUAGAUCCCGUGAAGUCUGUUUCAUUUCAAUUUUAGCCUUUGUAAGACCAACAGCACCUCUGGUUUUCCUUAGUAAUAAAGGCGUGUAAAAUGAAACGCCCCAUUUAUAAUUGUUUUCAAAAAAGGGAGAGGGAUUAAACUCUGAAAUCGUCUCAGAUAAGAAAUUGUAUUUCAAUUUGACAACGGGCAAAAGCUGUUGGGUUUUAAGUCUUUUUUCCACGUCCAGACUAGCCAAUUCAAAAUCAGUCAACCUCAAUUCAGGAUGUCUUGCCACCAGAGUUCUGAGUUCUUGGGCAUCAGGAACCUCAGUAAACUCCUCAAAGAGUCCCUGAGGAAAGACGCCGAGGCCAAGUUCCAUGGGAUUACCAUCUUCAUCCCAAAGAAAUGUAUUUAACUCCUGAGUAGCUGCAAAGAAGGUAUUUUCAGCGAUCUGCAGGCGAUAUUGACGGUUUAGCAAUUGGGUAAAGGCCUCUACUGUAUCGAUUGCGGCUUGAUCUCCCAAUUCAAAGAAUCGCUUCACCGCAUUAAACCUGAAUUUUGCCAACUCCACUCCUUCACGCAGGACAUCCACGUUUUCCUUUGCCAAUGACCAUCUCCAAUACAUGUCAGUUGCCUGUAGAUUAAGCUGAUUGAGCAUAUUUUGACGCUCUACUUCUGUGGAUUGCUGAUAGAUUUGGGCUUUUCGAAGCGUAGCUCUUCGAUCGUCCAAAAUUAGUCCUUGCCCCAAAUUGACUGAAGCACCAGCGGAAAGCAAUCCAGUAGCAGGCACAUUACUCUCUGAGUUUAGAAAUCUGCCCGUAUUUUGUUCAAAAAUCCCAUUCAACUCCACCCCCAUCCAAGUAGGAACCACCACGCCAGCUUCUCUUUUAUCAAAAUAGGUUGAUUCCUUGUAUUCUUUCUUGUCCAGAUUCCCAUAAAUCAUCGGAUCAAAUCCGCCUCUUGCCUGCCUCACUUCCAUCUGACCCAUUCUCAGGUUGAUUUCAGCUUGUACAGCAAUAGGAUGGUAAAGCUCUACCCACUCCAUAAAUUGCUCAAAAUUCAAUUUGAGUGAAUCCUGAGCUCUUGAUGUAAGAGAGAUCAAACUGACCAAUACUAUUAAAAUUCCUUUUUUCAUUUCUUGGUGGAAGCUGCUUUGUCUUUUUCUUCUUGAGAAUAGUAGUCUGCCGGGAAACCGUUCAAUUGACGCCAGAUCUCAUACCAAACCGGCACAUCAUUGAGUAAGGCAAUGCCAUCAGCACCUGAUCCAAUUCUCAAGAAGAAAAAGACCCUAUGAACCUUUACUGCAGCUUCGCCUUGGCGUUAGCGGCAACAUGUGUAGGAUAGGUGGGAGGCUAUGAAACCGGGGCGCCAGUUCCGGCGGAGCCAUCCUUGAAAUACCACCCUUGUUGUCGUUGACGUCUAACCGCGGCCCGUUAUCCGGGUCCGGGACAUGGCGUGGCGGGCAGUUUGACUGGGGCGGUCGCCUCCCAAAGUGUAACGGAGGCGCGCGAUGGUGGGCUCAGAGCGGUCGGAAAUCGCUCGUCGAGUGCAAUGGCAUAAGCCCGCCUGACUGAGAGACUGACAAGUCGAUCAGAGACGAAAGUCGGCCAUAGUGAUCCGGUGGUUCUGCGUGGAAGGGCCAUCGCUCAACGGAUAAAAGGUACUCUAGGGAUAACAGGCUGAUUUUGCCCAAGCGUCCACAGCGACGGCAAAGUUUGGCACCUCGAUGUCGGCUCAUCACAUCCUGGGGCUGGAGCAGGUCCCAAGGGUUCGGCUGUUCGCCGAUUAAAGUGGUACGUGAGCUGGGUUCAGAACGUCGUGAGACAGUUUGGUCCCUAUCUGCCGUGGGUGUACGAAGCUUGAGAGGAUCUGUCCCUAGUACGAGAGGACCGGGAUGGACACACCUCUGGUGGACCUGUCGUGGCGCCAGCCGCGCAGCAGGGUAGCUAAGUGUGGAAUAGAUAACCGCUGAAAGCAUCUAAGCGGGAAACUAACCUCAAAACAAGGCUUCGCUAAGAGCCGUGGUAGACCACCACGUCGAUAGGCCAGGUGUGGAAGUGCGGCGACGCAUGGAGCUUACUGGUACUAAUCGCUCGAUCGGCUUGAUC
rnacentral:rRNA from 1 species